UAUACAGCGAAACUGCGAAUGGCUCAUUAUAUAAGUUAUCGUUUAUUUGAUAGUGCCUUACUACUUGGAUAACCGUGGUAAUUCUAGAGCUAAUACAUGCUAAAAACCCCGACUUCGGAAGGGGUGUAUUUAUUAGAUACAAAACCAAUGCCCUUCGGGGCUCUUUGGUGAUUCAUGAUAACUAUACGAAUCGCACGGCCUUGCGCCGGCGAUGGUUCAUUCAAAUUUCUUCCCUAUCAACUUUCGAUGUUUGGGUAUUGGCCAAACAUGGUUGCAACGGGUAACGGAGGGUUAGGGCUCGACCCCGGAGAAGGAGCCUGAGAAACGGCUACUACAUCCAAGGAAGGCAGCAGGCGCGCAAAUUACCCAAUCCCGACUCGGGGAGGUAGUGACAAUAAAUACUGAUACAGGGCCCUUUCGGGCCUUGUAAUUGGAAUGAGCACAAUUUAAAUCCCUUAACGAGGAACAAUUGGAGGGCAAGUCUGGUGCCAGCAGCCGCGGUAAUUCCAGCUCCAAUAGCGUAUAU
rnacentral:rRNA from 1 species